rnacentral:tRNA from 1 species
GGGGUUAUGGCUCAGCGGUAGAGCAUUCGUCUUGCACGUGCAAGGCCCUGAGUUCAAUCCUCAGUGCCCAUA